rnacentral:rRNA from 1 species
CCUACGGGGGGCAGCAGUCGAGAAUUAUUCACAAUGGGGGAAACCCUGAUGGUGCGACGCCGCGUGGGGGAAUGAAGGUCUUCGGAUUGUAAACCCCUGUCAUGUGGGAGCAAAUUAAAAAGAUAGUACCACAAGAGGAAGAGACGGCUAACUCUGUGCCAGCAGCCGCGGUAAUACAGAGGUCUCAAGCGUUGUUCGGAAUCACUGGGCGUAAGGCGUGCGUAGGCUGUUUCGUAAGUCGUGUGUGAAAGGCGCGGGCUCAACCCGCGGACGGCACAUGAUACUGCGAGACUAGAGUAAUGGAGGGGGAACCGGAAUUCUCGGUGUAGCAGUGAAAUGCGUAGAUAUCGAGAGGAACACUCGUGGCGAAGGCGGGUUCCUGGACAUUAACUGACGCUGAGGCACGAAGGCCAGGGGAGCGAAAGGGAUUAGAUACCCCGGUAGUC